rnacentral:lncRNA from 10 species
AGAUAGAGAACCCUUAGGAAGGCGAUGCUGGAUCCUAUGGGUCUCAACAGAGGGCCUUACGGGGCCACUGUAACAACCAACCACGAAUGGGAGGCUCAACACAACUGAAACGCACGUCCUCACAGUCCUGGAGGCCCGAACUCCAAAACCAAGGCGCCAGCAGGGCCACGCUUCCUCCACGGAGCCUCGGGGAGCAGACGGUCUUGAGACGAGACUUGCUCCCGCAACCCUUUCCCAGCUGCAGCUGCCUCUCCGCCAUCUCUGCCUCCGUGGCCACGCGGCAUCUUCUCCCUGGCAUGGGCUGAACCACCGCAUCUCGGGCAGGGAAGAAAAAAAUGCUGGCAACUAAACCGUGAGGUCCCUUCAAGAGUAAAAUGGAACCUAAGAGGAAGACGGAACCUAACAGAGAUGUCGGGAGGAGAAGCAGCAUGCAUCUUAGAAUUGAUAAGCACGAUA